rnacentral:rRNA from 1 species
GUCUGUGUGAAGGUGUACGGAGUCUAGCCUGCCCACUGAUUAAUAUUAAAGGGCCGCGGUAUUCUGACCGUGCGAAGGUAGCAUAAUCAUUAGUCUUUUAAUUGGAGGCUUGUAUGAAUGGUUGAACGAAAAAUAGACUGUCUUCCUAAUUAAAACUGAAUUUAACAUUUAAGUGAAAAGGCUUAAAUAUAGUAAAAAGACGAUAAGACCCUAUAAAUCUUUAUAUUACUACUAAAUUUAAAGUUAAGUGUAAGUUUAAAAUCUACUAAAUUUAUAAUAAUAUUUUGUUGGGGCAACAUAGAUAGCAAAGAUUAUCUGUCUAAGAAAAUUACAGGAAAUAGCUGAAUAGGUUUGUUAAGAUCCUUUAUAGAGAUUAGAAGAUAAAGUUACUUUAGGGAUAACAGCGUUAUUUUACUUGAGAGUUCCCAUCGAAAGUAAAGUUUGCGACCUCGAUGUUGAAUUAAAAUUUUCUUUAUGGUGCAGCCGCUAUAGAAGAGAGUCUGUUCGACUUUUAAAAUUUU